CCGAGUCUAUGCAUCACAUUUAUGUGCAAAGCAUAAAAUACUCACAUCUCCAAAAACAGAAGCAAAGAAAAGGAAGAAACUAAUUUUUUGGGGUAGUUGAAAGAAUAGCCAGGAGAGGAGGCACCUUUAACCUGCUCCUGCUGGACCGCUGAGGACUAAGGAGUGUGUCUUCUGCUCAGUGUGUAUGUGUGUGUGUCAGAGACAGAUGGAGGAGCCCGCAGCACGGUGAGCAUCUCAGACUUUCUUAUUGGUGUAAAAAAAAAAA